rnacentral:lncRNA from 1 species
GACUCCACCUGAGGCUCUAGCCACUACUCCGGCUCUCUCUACAGCUUCUCUGCCUCUCAGGUACUCACUGUCGACUCCAACUGACUACAUCUAUUCCCUUAAGACCAUUAGGCCCCUUUGUAGACUAGAAAACUCAAUUUGAGUCGAAAUUUUGCUUAAAAAAAGGACUUGUGAACCUUUCUAUCCAUUAGAUCUUGACCACAGGCCUUCCUAGCCAUCAGAUCGUGCUCCUACCCACAAAAUCAAGCCUGAUCACACCC